rnacentral:lncRNA from 1 species
UUUCAAUGAAAGUGGAUAGUAUGGGUAAUGAAAUAGAAAAGCUAAAGACUAAUGAAGAUAAACUGAAGUCUGUAGCUACAAAUCAGCUAACUCAGCAGUGUGCAGAGCUAUGUCGAUCGGAAGACAUUAAAGUUCCAGAGCUAGAAGGAGACGAUGGGACACUCCAUAAAACCCAUAACAUUUAUCAAUCUACUUCUGCAGGUACAAGCAAAGGAGUUAGGAAAAACACAAAUAUGAACCUAAACAAGCUAUUUGAUAAACCAUAUAUACCAAAUACAUCAAAAGAUCCCAUGUUUAUACCCCCACAAAUUACCACAUACCGAGAUAGUUUAAACCAAGACAAAAAGACUUACAACUACACAGCCCGGACUAAUGAAGUUAAAUUGAAGUCUAUAGCUACAAAUCAGCUAACUCAGCAGUGUGCAGAGCUACGUCGAUUGGAAAACAUUAAAAUUUCAGAGCUAGAAGGAGACGUUGGGACACUCCGUAAAACCCAUAACGUUUAUCAAUCUACAAUUGCAGGUACAAGCAAAGGAGUUAUUGGACAAAGAUACCAUAAUAUGAA